GACGAACGCUGGCGGCAUGCCUUACACAUGCAAGUCGAACGGUAACGGGCCUUCGGGUGCCGACGAGUGGCGAACGGGUGAGUAAUGUAUCGGAACGUACCUUUCAGUGGGGGAUAACGUAGCGAAAGUUACGCUAAUACCGCAUAUUCUGUGAGCAGGAAAGCAGGGGAUCGCAAGACCUUGCGCUGAUUGAGCGGCCGAUAUCAGAUUAGCUAGUUGGUGAGGUAAAGGCUCACCAAGGCGACGAUCUGUAGCGGGUCUGAGAGGAUGAUCCGCCACACUGGAACUGAGACACGGUCCAGACUCCUACGGGAGGCAGCAGUGGGGAAUUUUGGACAAUGGGGGCAACCCUGAUCCAGCCAUGCCGCGUGAGUGAAGAAGGCCUUCGGGUUGUAAAGCUCUUUCGGCCGGGAAGAAAUCGUAUGGGUUAAUACCCUGUGCGGAUGACGGUACCGGCAUAAGAAGCACCGGCUAACUACGUG
rnacentral:rRNA from 1 species